AAUCUUGCACAAUGCGCGAAAGCGUGAUGCAGCAACGCCGCGUGCGGGAAGAAGGCCUUAGGGUUGUAAACCGCUUUCUGUUGGGACGAAGCUAUACGAGCUAAUAGCCCUGUGUAGUGACGGUACUUUCAGAAGAAGCGCCGGCUACCUACGUGCCAGCCGCCGCGGUAAUACGUAGGGCGCAAGCGUUGUCCGGAAUCAUUGGGCGUAAAGCGGGUGUAGGCGGCUGGGUAAGGCUGCUGUGAAAGGCCAGGGCUCAACCCUGGGAUGCCGCAGAUACUGCAUGGCUAGAGUACGGGAGGGGCGAGUGGAAUUCCUGGUGUAGCGGUGGAAUGCGCAGAUAUCAGGAGGAACACCUAUGGCGAAGGCAGCUCGCUGGAACGUUACUGACGCUGAGACGCGAAAGCGUGGGGAGCAAAC
rnacentral:rRNA from 1 species